rnacentral:rRNA from 1 species
GGUGAACGCUGGCGGCGUGCUUAAGACAUGCAAGUCGAACGGCAGUCUUCGGACUGUAGUGGCGCACGGGUGAGUAACGCGUAACUGACCUACCCCAAAGUCGCGGAUAACGAUUCGAAAGAAUCGCUAAUACGUGAUGUGCUGUCAGAUUGUGUUCUGCCAGUAAAGAUUGAUUGCUUUGGGAUGGGGUUGCGUUCCAUCAGCUAGUUGGUGGGGUAAAGGCCCACCAAGGCGACGACGGAUAGCCGGCCUGAGAGGGUGGCCGGCCGCAGGGGCACUGGGACACGGGUCCCACUCCUACGGGAGGCAGCAGUUAGGAAUCUUCCACAAUGGGCGAAAGCCUGAUGGAGCGACGCCGCGUGAGGGAUGAAGGUCUUCGGAUCGUAAACCUCUGAAUCAGGGACGAAAGACACUUCGGUGGGAUGACGGUACCUGAGUAAUAGCACCGGCUAACUCCGUGCCAGCAGCCGCCGUAACAC